rnacentral:rRNA from 1 species
GACGAACGCUGGCGGCGUGCUUAACACAUGCAAGUCGAACGGUAAGGCCCUUCGGGGUACACGAGUGGCGAACGGGUGAGUAACACGUGGGUGAUCUGCCCUGCACUUCGGGAUAAGCCUGGGAAACUGGGUCUAAUACCGGAUAGGACCACUGCCUGCAUGGGUGGUGGUGGAAAGCUUUUGCGGUGUGGGAUGGGCCCGCGGCCUAUCAGCUUGUUGGCGGGGUGAUGGCCUACCAAGGCGACGACGGGUAGCCGGCCUGGGAGGGUGACCGGCCACACUGGGACUGAGAUACGGCCCAGACUCCUACGGGAGGCAGCAGUGGGGAAUAUUGCACAAUGGGCGCAAGCCUGAUGCAGCGACGCCGCGUGAGGGAUGACGGCCUUCGGGUUGUAAACCUCUUUCAGCACCGACGAAGCGCAAGUGACGGUAGGUGCAGAAGAAGGACCGGCCAACUACGUGCCAGCAGCCGCCGUAAAAC